rnacentral:rRNA from 1 species
CAGCACCUCAAGUGGUCAGGAUGAUUAUUGGGCCUAAAGCAUCCGUAGCCGGCGCUGUAAGUUUUCGGUUAAAUCUGUACGCUCAACGUACAGGCUGCCGGGAAUACUGCAGCGCUAGGGAGUGGGAGAGGUAGACGGUACUCGGUAGGAAGGGGUAAAAUCCUUUGAUCUAUUGAUGACCACCUGUGGCGAAGGCGGUCUACCAGAACACGUCCGACGGUGAGGGACGAAAGCUGGGGGAGCAAACCGGAUUAGAUACCCGCGUAGUCC